rnacentral:ncRNA from 1 species
UUUUCGUAUAAUCCCGGGGAUUGGCCCGGGAGUCUCUACAAGGUCACCGUAAUGAUCUGGCUACGAAAA